AAGAUGGUUGAGGGGAGGAUAAUAAGAUUAGGGCACGAACAGAUACGGAGGAGAUGGAAAAGAGAUUGCUCAGACAGCCAAGGGUUUGUCUUCAGAUUCAGGGCAAUGCCCAGAUCAGAAACUCUAGUCCACAAUAGCUUCAUCACCGCAUAGAUAUACAAAAAAAAAUACAAAUUUGAACACAAAAACAGAGAGGAAAAUG